rnacentral:rRNA from 1 species
AUUGAACGCUGGCGGCAGGCCUAACACAUGCAAGUCGAGCGGGUGAGUGGAGCUUGCUCCAUGAUUCAGCGGCGGACGGGUGAGUAAUGCCUAGGAAUCUGCCUGGUAGUGGGGGACAACGUUUCGAAAGGAACGCUAAUACCGCAUACGUCCUACGGGAGAAAGUGGGGGAUCUUCGGACCUCACGCUAUCAGAUGAGCCUAGGUCGGAUUAGCUAGUUGGUGAGGUAAAGGCUCACCAAGUCGACGAUCCGUAACUGGUCUGAGAGGAUGAUCAGUGCCACGGGAACUGAGACACGUCCCAGACUCCUACGGGAGGCAGCCGUGGGGAAUAUUGGACAAUGGGCGAAAGCCUGUUCCAGCCAUGCCGCGUGUGUGAAGAAGGUCUUCGGAUUGUAAAGCACUUUAAGUUGGGAGGAAGGGCAGUAAGUUAAUACCUUGCUGUUUUGACGUUACCAACAGAAUAAGCACCGGCUAACUUCGUGCCAGCCGCCGCAGUAAGAC